rnacentral:lncRNA from 1 species
ACUAACUGUCCCCUCCUGUACAGCUGAAUGGCUGAUACUGCUCUGAGAGCAUCCACUUUCUCCCAUAACAGCCUGCUCUGGAGAAGUAGGUGGAGUGAGAGGCAUUCCACAGGUACUAGAAGGAUCUUUCACGCUUCCAAGCCCCUGCUGCCCCACAUUUAUAUGGCCUCCAGUACUGGCAGCGUUCUGUGACAUGGGGAUGUCACUCUGGGAGAUGAGAACAAAGGCUGAAGGAUACACCAUCCUUACACCACCAACAAUGACUUCAACUGCCACAGGGAAAUCGUUGUCAUAUCCCAGCGCUUCUUCCUCUUUCAUGCCUUCUUUUUUCUUCAGCACCAUAGGGUAAAAAUACUGCC